UACGAAGGGGGGCUAGCGUUGUUCGGAAUUACUGGGCGUAAAGCGCGCGUAGGCGGAUAUUUAAGUUAGGGGUGAAGUCCCAGGGCUCAACCCUGGAACUGCCUUUAAUACUGGGUAUCUCGAGUCCGAGAGAGGUGAGUGGAAUUCCGAGUGUAGAGGUGAAAUUCGUAGAUAUUCGGAGGAACACCAGUGGCGAAGGCGGCUCACUGGCUCGACACUGACGCUGAGGUGCGAAAGCGUGGGGAGCAAACAGG
rnacentral:rRNA from 1 species